CUAUUGGCAUGCCAACCUAUCCAUACUAGUCAACUAGGCAAAUUAGGGCACAUUAUAAAUUAAUUGUUUAAUUCUUCAAUUUUUGGAGUUUACUAACUAUUAUAUAAUUCACAAGUCAAUGCAUAUGUUGACCUUUUUAGGUAAUAUGGAUAAGUUGUUUCUAGCAUCAAUAUGUCACAAUUUAUAUCUCAAUAUGCUGCCAAUAUAGUGCAAUUUACCAUUUUUACAAGUUGGCAUUCAUUGCCAAAAUGCUUCAAGCAUCAUUGUAUGCAAAAUGUCAAAUUCUCAAUUUUUGUGUGCUAGAUUGGUCUAGCUUAUAGUCCUAUUUCCCUUGGUUUUUAGCUUCUGGUCAAAGAAGCAAAAUUGUAGCUCUGUCUUAUUGCACGUGGGGCAAAAUUUUAGGUCAUUCUAAGUUGUGUAGACCAAGAUAUGGU
rnacentral:misc_RNA from 1 species